GGGCGGUUAGCUCAAUUGGCAGAGCAACCGGUUUACAUCUGGUAGGUCACAGGUUCGAGUCCUGUACCGCCCA
rnacentral:tRNA from 1 species